ACAAAUUAAGGGGACCUUUAUUAGCCAGCGACCUAGAGGCAGCUAACGCUCAAAAUUCUCUUGGCCCUGAGGAAGGAGCUAGUUUUGUUUUUAUACUGUGGUCUAAACAGGGAAGGGGGGAGUUUAGCUGAAGCAAUUUUACAGAAGCAGAAGAGGCAAAAAGUUAAAAAAAAUUGGUUAUAGACGCAGUUACAAAAAAUAGUUCCAGGUGCAGGGGCUUAAACUAUCACUAAGAGAGAAACGCAGGGGCUUUUAAGUACCUUCCACCGAGCACAUUCCCGGGAGCUGCUGGUACAGCCUGCCUCAAUAUCUUACCAGCAGGUGUAUUCCUGGAUGUUCUUGGAGUCAGCUUACACUAGUUAUUCCCUUAAGGGGGAUAAAGGGGGCUGCAAGUGAAGAAACUAAAAUGGAGUCUGUCCGGCUCUCUCUGCUAGGAGAGAGUCACUCAGAUUAAAACAAGGUAGGGUAUCACAAAUGAUUCACUUAGACGGGAAGUCUGUCCUCCUAAAAGUAGCUAAGCACAGAGAGAAACAUUCCCUGUUCAGCUGGCUGAGACUUCCGCUGAUUAAAAAAAAAAAAAAAAACCCCUGCCCCAUAAAUCUCCCCACUGAAACCGGUCUACUCCUUCCUAUGAAAGUAAAAGACACCCCCGCCCCGCCCCGGUUACCCCAACAGUGUGAUUUCCACUUCUGGGGCGCUCUCCCUAUGGCAGUAGCCUGAAUAAUUUCAAUGUAUUGGAUUGUUUGGUUUCUGUCUUUACCAAGGUGCAUUUAUCAUUCAUGCAAAAACAGUAAAAAAAAAAAAAAAAAAAGAAAAAGAAAAAUGAAACAGCACGUGUCGGUUCUCAGGGGCGCGCCCUAGCUCAAAACUCCCAGCCAAUCACAGGAGAAGUCGGCCACCUCCCAACUCUCCAGCCCAGUUCCUACGUCCCUCGCCCGGGAAGUCACGUCCGCUAAAGGGAGUCUCUUCCCAUGGCCUCCGGAAGCAUUCGGCAGUCCACGAGCCACACUUCAGAGAGGGCCGCUCCGGGAACGCCGCGGCGCACCUCCGGAAGGGAUGACCUCCACGCUUUCUCCCCUCGCAGCCCACCCGAGCGGCGUGGGUCGCGAGAAGCCACGCAACCGCUCCGGCGGUCCGCGGCAGCCAAAGGUUCAGUUUCUCAGCGGCGUCGCAUCCCUGUGACGCCAGCUCAACCCCGCCUACGCCCCCUUCCGCGCUGCGGCACCUCUAGUCCGCCGGAGGGCGGUUCCUCUCGAUGGUCUUAACCCUUCAAUUACGAGCGGGCGGCGCUGCGUUUCCAGGGCAGAGGAAACUAGGCGCCGCGCUGGCGCCUGGACGGCGGGAACCGGCUCUGGAGCGAGAACGCGCGUGAGAGAGCCCGAGAGAGACCGAGAGCGAGCGAGCGCGCGGGAGAGACUGAGAACGGGGGCUGGGAGAGAGACUUCCAGAGAGACAGAGCGAGAGGCCGAGACCGAGGCUGUCCCUAGCACAGGCCAGGGUGUCUUGGGACUCGAAUCCCUGGGUUGGGCUGGCCGACAGUGGGGCUUUCGAAGGAAGCGGGUGAUUUUCCACGUCGUCCAUAUCUCCCUGGUGUGGGAAUGGCGGUCGUGCGCUCUGGGGGUGGCGUUGUUCUCGUUCCCUACUUGGGGGUGGCCUUUUUCAGCAGAGAAAGGGGAUGUCGCGGGCAUUGGUAGCCGGCGGGACUACACUUGGGCUAGGAUCAGUGUUCAGUGGGUUCAGAAAUCACCGUGUCCUUAGCAUCACCUCCCUCCCCACCUCCUCUCCCAUCGCACAGCAGGAGACAGUGACUGGAGGGUUUUCAAGGAGGACUGCAUUGCCCCUAUUGAAACAAACCGUCCGACAAGCCCUUUCUCCGACGUGUGACAGAGGGACGGUCGUAAUGUGAAAUACGACUAGACAUGCGUUUAAUGGGCGGUGUGAUUGCUGCAUUCGUGCCCAAUGACUGGUCCAGGCCAUUUGUGUCCAGUAGCCGCACAAGCUGCAGGGUCUCAUGUUUAGAGAAGGAGGGCCUCCACGCCGUCUACCUUGCUGGAGUACAGGCGACCCUGGGCGGUAGCCCUCUGCGCCAUCAGAAAUGUGGUGAUCUGAGUAGCCACAGAUUUCCAUCUGCAUCUCCAAUACCAUUUCCCUCUACUCACUGACCCGUUGGGUGCGUUGGAUUUGUGCGUGGGUGUGAGGGUAGGUUGGUGUGUUUGCUCGCAAAUGGAAAAGUGAAUGGCCUUCCUUGGCUGAGCUUAUCAGGGCUCUAGCAGUGGAGAGAGAAAGGACUACUGUAUUCUUAGGAGCAGAAUCUCAACAACUUCCUGUAAAACGGGCAGUGUGUCUUACCUGGAAUGCUUUGGCAUUUAAUAAAAUGCCCUGUGAAUACUUUCCAUAGGGAAGCACUAUUUUUACUGUUUCAUAGGGAACCACUGUUUCUGGUUGGACAGUGGUUACAUUUCAAAUCGUAGUUCAGAAUUCGUGAAAUACCCAAAUUAAAUAUCUACAUGGCAGUAAUUCAUUUUCUUUCCUUAGUGUGUGGUUGGAAGAUUAAUUUGAGAUAAAUGUUCAGUUCUGGGCUGGGCAAUCGUGCCGGGCACGGGAAAUUUAGGUUCUUUAAGGGAAAGGCCUGAUGUGCUAAAAUGAAAUCUAAGCCAUAUUUAGCCGCUUAUGAGAAUAUGAAGGUAAGGAGAGCCACAGGUAAGUAUAUGUCUGUGAAUGCGAAUUAAAACGGGUGACAAUAUAAAGAGAGAUUGGUGUCACAAAUAGUGAAGUGGCUUUUGUAUUUCAGCAGACCUCAGUGAGAAUUGGUCACCACCACUCCCUAGGUGUGUGACCUUGAGUGAGUUGCUUAACCUCUCUGAUCCUAUUACCUCAUCUGCAACUGGGGAUGAGAAUAUAUAUCAUAGCAAGCCCUGGGAGAAGCUGUUCCUGGCCACCUGGGCUAUGGUGGUUUUGACUUCUUCUGUGUCAGAAGUACCCCCGUCUCAUGCCUGCCAUAGUUGUCUUUUUGUUUUGUUUUGUUUUGGGGGAUGGUCUCACCUGUCACCCAGGCCGGAUUGCACUGGCCUCAACCUCCUGAGUUCAAGUGAUCGUCCUACCUCAGCCUCCCUAGUAGCUGGUACCCCAGGUAUGCAGCAUCAUGCCUGGCUAAAUUUUAACAAUUUUUUGUGGAGACGGUGAUCUCGCCCUGUUGUUCAGGCUGGUCUCAAACUCCUGGGCUCAAACAGUCCUCCCGCCUCAGCCUCCAAAAGUGCUUGGAUUAGAGGCGUGAGCCACCAUUCCUGGCUCCUUGGACAAUAUUUUAUUCCUCAGACUGAGAUGUCUCCUUGGGAUGGGGCUGCAUUGGAUAAUUCACUGAAGGCACCGCUGAAUGGAGUGGGCCCUCAGUAAAUACCUGGAGGAAUGUGACCUGGCCAGUGAGGUUAUUUUCUUUUGUAGGUGAAAGGUGUAGCAGUCACUCGGCCUAUACCCACAGCAUCGACCUCGUGAAUCCAGCGACCUGACUGCCUUGGGAGAAUUGAAGCGAAUGAGAGUGGGGAGUGUGAGAGGUGCGUUCGGUGCAGCAUUUCUGGCAUGGGAACAGAACUGGCCAGGAGGAAGUGACGUCUGGGUUCUGCCCGCACACAUUCCUCGCUACCUUCUUGGUGUCUGAGAACCUCCAGCUUCAUCUCCUUUUCUGGACCCGAGGGCCUGGCGGAGCUUCCAGCUGGGACCAGACCUCCAUGGAUCCACUCCAGAAACGGAAUCCAGCAUCGCCUUCCAAAUCUUCCCUGAUGACAGCUGCAGAGACUUCCCAGGAAGGUCCAGCGCCCUCUCAGCCUUCGUACUCAGAACAGCCGAUGAUGGGCCUCAGUAACCUGAGCCCCGGUCCUGGCCCCAGCCAGGCCGUGCCUCUCCCAGAGGGGCUGCUCCGCCAGCGGUACAGAGAGGAGAAGACGCUGGAAGAGCGGCGGUGGGAGAGGCUGGAGUUCCUUCAGAGGAAGAAAGCAUUCCUGCGGCAUGUGAGGAGGAGACACCGCGAUCACAUGGCCCCCUAUGCUGUUGGGAGGGAAGCCAGAAUCUCCCCGUUAGGUGACAGAAGUCAGAAUCGAUUCCGAUGUGAAUGUCGAUACUGCCAGAGCCACAGGCCGAAUCUUUCUGGGAUCCCUGGGGAGAGUAACAGGGCCCCACAUCCCUCCUCCUGGGAGACACUGGUGCAGGGCCUCAGUGGCUUGACUCUCAGCCUAGGCACCAACCAGCCUGGGCCUCUGCCUGAAGCGGCACUCCAACCACAGGAGACAGAGGAGAAGCGCCAGCGAGAGAGGCAGCAGGAGAGCAAAAUAAUGUUUCAGAGGCUGCUCAAGCAGUGGUUAGAGGAAAACUGAGACGUGCACCCACAUGGGAUGGAGACCCAAAGGGACUCAGACGGAGCCGCCGUGUUGGCAGCGCCUGGGUGUGGGCCCAUUUUGGGGACCAAACAGCAAGCUGUGGUCGGAUGAGUGCCAGGACCUGUGUAGCGGGACACGUGGGAAUCCUCCAGCAUGAUGAUGCUUGACCGACCCGAGGAAGGUCCUCAUCUUUCGUGCCUGUCAUUCUCGGAUGGCUGUGAGACAUUCCUUGGCAAGGGACGCUGCGUACCAGCGGUCCUUGCCGCAUCUCACAUGGCUCCUGUGAUGCAUGUUGUCGCUUUCCCACCCGGGAUCUCCAUCUCUCUUCCCUUCCUGCUGUCAGUAAGAGAUCACAUGUCUGUGUAGUGUGAAUGCCUUGUCGCUGUCCCGUGCUUUUGCACCAUUGGGUCGACUGCCUCUGAGAAGCAGCACUAGGCCUGUUGAAAUGCAAUGUGCUGCCCUGAGAUCCAGUUUCAAGAAUGGGCAGCUAAACACAGUGUGGGAAAGGAAUGUGGAAUGAGAACUUGGUGGUUCACCGCUGUACUAUUUGCGUAAAUGUUUAUGUAUGUGAUAAGCUACAUGUAUGUAAAUGUUGCAAUACCCCUAACAGUCGAGUAGUAUUCUCCCUUACAGGAAUUUUUGACGGGGUUCCUUAUCAUCAAUACCAAAUAAAUAGAUGUAGGAAUGGAAAAUGGGUGUAGAAUUCAGGUUUGUUCCUCAGUAUUGGUUUGUUUCUCAAUAGAUCUGAGCUGGCUACCUUGAACUCUCCCAGCAGGGGAUCCGGGUUUAUUGAGGGAAGCUCUACGCUGUGGAGACUGGGAAUGGGGGAGGGAGGGCACCAGAGAACACAGCCCAGUCACUGUUUGAGCCCUGCAGCGGGACCAGCAUCCAGAUCAGCGAGGCAGGGCCGUGGCUUCGAAGAGAGGCUUCCUGUGCACAGGAGACGUGGAAGCAGAGUCUGCCGCCCACGAAUCCUGAGAUGUGAACCCAGCCAGUACCCGUGUGACUCCUCUGAACUGAAAACAAAUUCUGCUUUGUGUCAGUCUGUUUUAGGUAGUCCCCAGAGCUGUCUUGCUGCAAAAGUCUACGCAUCUCCUGCCGACAGAAGUGGCUUGAAAACAGGUAAGUGUCUUAGAUUCUGAUGCUGAGAUCUCAUGAGAGAGUCGACAGUUGAACUGACCUAGCUCCAGGGGAGAAGGGAAAAAAAAAGGAGGGCUAUUCCUUCUUGAAACACAAAGGCCUAAAUGGAGACCAGUGAAUCCGGGAGGGUUUCAGAGGGGUUCGGGUUUCAAAGGGGUUCGAGGCGUUGCCCUUUGGCUGAUGUUUCCUAGGGUUCUUCUGAUGGUAUUUUCCCCAUUUCCAUAUGUCAGCUGCCUUCCUCCACUCCCACACACCCAUCCUCUAGCAACAUUUUCAGUUCCGCUUUAUGAAUUUCGAAAGCAGAACACCAGAGAAGUUAGGGAACUAGCCCACGGUGGCACAGGCAGUAAGAGGUAGAACUAGCACCCGAACCUAGGCAGGCUGGGAUCGGAGCUGGCCCCCCUUCAGCAGUUCACCUCUGUGAAGGCUGUGGGUGAAGUGCCUAGAGCCGGGCUUUGGUGCUCAUUUCAUAGCUGGUAGCACCAAGUCUUGGUGAGAUCCAUUGCUGAAUCCUCCACACAGUGCCAUGGGCCAGGUACAAUCAUCCCCACCUUGCGGAGAGUUUGUGCAGGUCCUAAAGUGGUGGCCAGAGAUGCAUGCCUUUGUCUCACUCCCCAACCACUCAAAUGCUCUCUGCGGACCUUCUCAGUCAGCCCAGCAAGCACACCAGGUCCGUGCUGCCAGUGACAGUCAUCAUUUCAGCAAUCAUCAGGGUUUCCAUUUUCUCACCUUGCCUCUCUCCCUCCUGGGCUACUUCGACUGUCGUGGUGGGGAGGUGAGGAGGAGUUGCAGAGGUAGCCCUGCUCCGGGGGAUUGAGCGAUUCAUCAGGGAGAGAGAUCCGACCCCAUCUUAGUCUGUGUCCUUCCACUAUAUCGUGAAAUACAACAGGCUGGGUGCUCUGGAUUGGAUACGGUGUGUUUAUUCCCACCAAGAGUCAGGUUGAAGUUGAAUCCUCAGUGCUGCAGUGUUGGGAGGUGGGUCCUAGUGGGAGGUGUUUGGGUCGUGGUGGGGAUCCCUCAUGAAUGAGUCAGUGUCCUGUGAUGCCAUCCUGCUGGGCUGAGUUCUUACUCUCACAGGUAUGGAUUAGUUCGCAGGAGAGUGGAUUGUUCACAGGAUUCUGGCCUCCCUGGAUUCUCUCUCCCUUCCUUCUUUCCAUGUGAUGUCGUUGCACAUGCCGGCUCCCCUUCCACUUUGCACCAUGAGUUGAAGCCGCCCGAGGCCCUCACCAGAUGCAAUUGCCCAAAAAUGAAUGUUUCAGCCACCAGAAUUGUGAGCCAGAUAAACCAACUUUUUCUUUUUAAAAGAUUUAUUUAUUUUAAUUUUUUUUUAAGAGACAGGGUGAUGCUCUGUUGCCGACGAGAGUGGAGUGACACGAU